UGGGGCGCAUUUAGUUGUGGUUAAUGGUGCGGUCAGUGGAUAAGUACUUAGAUUAGAGAUGCUUUGUGUCUGCAGUUUGUUUAGCUGCUGGAUAUAAUUUUACAGGGAAAUUUUUGUUUUGCAAUUUUUUCAGUUAACUAUUUUGUUAAUUUUAAUGCCCAUAAAAUUUGGGUACUUCAAUUCACUUGCAUUAUAGGUGACUGACUGAUAUUUGAAAUAUUAAUUUCAAUUUAUUUUUAUAGCCAUACUUCAUGUUUGAAGUUGGGAAAAGUAGGAGGUUCACUGUUUAUUGCAUUUUGUGAAAGCUCCUCUUGCUCUUACAAUAUCAAAUAUUUCGAUUUUUUUCCUCAUAUUAAAGUGUUAUCUUGCAAAAAAGUGAUUCAUUUUAACGCCCAUUUUUUUACUAUGUUCUCCAUCUAAAAUUCAGUAAUCCAGUUCGCUUUGGUAUCAUGUCUAAUCUGUUACCCUCUGCCUUCCGCAAUUAGCACGACUUCAUCUACCUCCUUUAUGCCCACUAACCAAUAUUCACUCAGUUCACAAUGUUCUUUUUGUCUUAUUCACACUUGUAUUUUUGCGUUGUUGUUGUGCUUUACUGAUCAGCUGGAAAAAGGAUGUACGACAAAUGCAUGACGCCUGAUGUUUGAACAAGGUAUUUUAUCAACUAUAUCAUCGCACAGUUGUAGCAACAAGUAAGAACGACAAGAUGACUGGCACCAAAACAGUAAUCGACGGCCUUAUUAUAUUAACCCUUCUGUAAACUAGCUUCUGAAAAAAUCUGUAAAUAUGUAGAUAACGUGAGUUUAAUGUGUAAACAAUAUAUGUUUGUAUAUUUGUAUACAUAUUAAGUCUUCUGGUAA